rnacentral:rRNA from 1 species
AUUGAACGCUGGCGGCAGGCCUAACACAUGCAAGUCGAGCGAGCGGCGGACGGGUGAGUAAUGUAUGGGGACUGCACGAUAGAGGGGGGUAACUACUGGAAACGGUGGCUAAUACCGAAUACUGUCGGAUAACCCAUAUGGGAGUAGCUAGUAGGUAAGGUAAUGGCUUACCUAGGCGACGAUCCCUAGCUGGUCUGAGAGGAUGAUCAGCCACACUGGGACUGAGACACGGCCCAGACUCCUACGGAGGCAACAGUGGGGAAUAUUGCACAAUGGGCGAAAGCCUGAUGCAGCCAUGCCGCGUGUAUGAAGAAGGCCCUAGGGUUGUAAAGUACUUUCAGUCGGGAGGCGUUACCGACAGAAGAAGCACCGGCUAACUACGUGCCAGCAGCCGCGGUAAUUC